GUUGUUGUUAUUAUUAUUAUAUGGCUUUUUUGGUUUCUGAUGUUGUCCUCAAGUUCAGGGAUUUAAAGAAUGCAAAGGAGGACUUGAGCAAGAAUUGUGUUGCACUUUAUGAGGCUUCAAGUGGUGAUGGGUCGUUAAAUGAUGAUGGGCAUUGUGGAAAAUCAUCAACAUUGCCCGACUCCACUUUGCCUCACAAAGAAUGUCCAGAUGAUGAUUGGGAAGCUAUUGCAGAUCGUGCUCCAGAGGAACUACUUUCUCCACAGUGCUUGCCCGAAGUCUCGAAACUAUCACUGCAAGAUGCCAAAACUCAAACUCCUAAGCGGCGUGGAAGAGGAAUGUUCGCAUACACUACUCAUCGCAUGUAUAGUGAUCAGCAGUCUCAUGGGUUUGUUGUUGGUAAUUCAGAAAAUGAAGCUAUGUGCGAUAGUUCAGAAGGAGAUACACAGAUAAGAAAUGGUAUGUAUCAAUGUGAAAUGCAUUUGAAGGCAGAUAGACAGAUAAGAAAUGGUAUAUAUGCUUGAUGUUCUUAGUGGAAGUCUUCAACUCACUCUCAUGGCACAGAGUGAGUUGUAUGAGGUAUUCAAGUUGGACUUUCAAGGAAUCUCAAGGCACUAAAUUAUGGAAGGCAUUAGACAUUUCAUAGGAUAAUAUUGUAUAAUGCUCCUCUUUCACGUCAUAUUUAUCUGGAUGGAGCUGAUGUGAUUAGUCAGAUGUCCUUCAGUAACAAUUAAAUCCUUGUGUUGCUUCUAUUUGUUUGUUAUUGGCUUUCAUGAUGGUGUUGGACUAGGAAGCAUAGAUACAGAUACGACACGAUAAGUAUAAAAUGAUGUAGUGAUAAGGGAGGCCUUUUAGGGGCCCUGAUCUUUUUCCUUUUACCCUAGUUCACCUCUUCCCAACAUAUAUACAUAUAUACACACAUUCAUUAUCUAACUAAAAUAAGGAGCCUCCCAAUGUAGAGAUUGGGAUAAAUUAGGGGCUCAUAGUGUUAUUGAUAGAAGUACAGCAGGUUGGAUCAGUCAUAGUCUGCAAAAUGUGUUCAUUAAUUUCUUCCCACUUUAGAUGCUAUGAGAGAGGAAUUGCGGCAGGAAUGGAAGGGUGAUGGAAGGCAGCUGGGGGAAGGGAUAUGGAUGGAUUUUCUACUUCAUUGGAUUUGCAUUUCUUUCUCUCAAAGCGAGGCUUCAGGAGUUGAUGGGCGAAGAACAG